GAAAUCUGGUACCUUCGGUGCCCGAGUUGUAAUUUGGAGAGGGCAACUUUGGGGCCGUUCCUUGUCUAUGUUCCUUGGAACAGGACGUCAUAGAGGGUGAGAAUCCCGUGUGGCGAGGAGUGCGGUUCUUUGUAAAGUGCCUUCGAAGAGUCGAGUUGUUUGGGAAUGCAGCUCUAAGUGGGUGGUAAAUUCCAUCUAAAGCUAAAUAUUGGCGAGAGACCGAUAGCGAACAAGUACAGUGAUGGAAAGAUGAAAAGAACUUUGAAAAGAGAGUGAAAAAGUACGUGAAAUUGUUGAAAGGGAAGGGCAUUUGAUCAGACAUGGUGUUUUGUGCCCUCUGCUCCUUGUGGGUAGGGGAAUCUCGCAUUUCACUGGGCCAGCAUCAGUUUUGGUGGCAGGAUAAAUCCAUAGGAAUGUAGCUUGCCUCGGUAAGUAUUAUAGCCUGUGGGAAUACUGCCAGCUGGGACUGAGGACUGCGACGUAAGUCAAGGAUGCUGGCA
rnacentral:rRNA from 1 species